GACGAACGCUGGCGGCGUGCUUAACACAUGCAAGUCGAACGGAAAGGCCCUGCUUUUGUGGGGUGCUCGAGUGGCGAACGGGUGAGUAACACGCGAGUAACCUGCCCUUGACUUUGGGAUAACUUCAGGAAACUGGGGCUAAUAUCGGAUAGGAGCUCCUGCUGCAUGGUGGGGGUUGGAAAGUUUCGGCGGUUGGGGAUGGUCUCGCGGCUUAUCCGCUUGUUGGUGGGGUAGUGGCUUACCAAGGCUUUGACGGGUAGCCGGCCUGAGAGGGUGACCGGCCACAUUGGGACUGAGAUACGGACCAGACUCCUACGGGAGGCAGCAGUGGAGAAUCUUGCACAAUGGGCGGGAGCCAGAUGCAGCAACGCCGGGUGCGGGAUGACGGCUUUCGAGUUGUGAACCGAUGUCGCCUGUGACGAGGCGUGAGUGACGGUAAUGGGUAAAGAAGCACCGGCUAACUACGUG
rnacentral:rRNA from 1 species